UAUGCCCAGAUAUGUGUGUGAUUUGUCAAGUGGCACAGCCUGUCCAUUUAUAGUCGGCGUUUGCCUUAAGUCCGUUGAUCUAAUUGUCCUCAGUGUGAAUAUUACAUGUCCGGUUUUUUUUGCAUUUAUGUUAAUGCACCACUUCUUGGCCCAUAUAGAGAAGUGUUGUAGGUACCGCUGGUUAUUUUUGACUGCCACAUUUGGGAUUGCAGAUGCGCUCAUUAUCACCGUGUCGUCGGCAUACGUGGACAGCAGCAUUGAUUCCCGUUCUGGAUGGAAGCCAGUGCUGUCAGGGAUGAGGUGAUUUGGACAGCUCCAAUGCAUCAACAAUCUGCAUCAGCUCAGGCAGUGUGACUGGUCUGAAGGGAAUCCUGAUUUCCUGGUCUGGUUGUAGCUGCUUCUGCCGUUUUGACUGCUCACGCUCUCUGUUGAUUGCGGUCCGCUCUUCAUCUGAGUUGGAUAGUAUCGGGCUGAAUCUCUCCUCCAGGAUUGUGAGCCCCUUAUUAAGACGAUUUUGCGCCGCCCUGUAGUUUCGUCUGGCUUCGAUGGUGCGAGUCGCCAGCCAGAUCCUCUUGCACUGCUGUUUGUUGGAAAGCAGCUUGCUAGUAGCCACGUCCAGCUUAAGGUGAUGGUGCCGGUGAUGUUGCUGUGACCGCUGCUGAUGUUGAUGCUGUCGCUGCUGUGGCCAUCUUCGAUGUGAGUUUGGAUGCUGCUGUUGAUUUUGUGUUGUUGCUGCUG